GACAGAGGUCCCGAGCGUUAGGCGGAAUCACUGGGCUUAAAGCGUGUGUAGGUGGAUGCCUAAGUACCUUGUGAAAUCCCACGGCUUAACCUGGAAUUGCUUGGUAUACUGGGUGUCUUGAGCUAGCUAGGGGCAACCGGAACAAAUGGUGGAGCGGUGAAUGCGCAGAUAUCAGGAGGAACACCAAUGGCGAAGGCAGCACUCUGGGACGUGACUGACGCUGAGACGCGAAAAGCGUGGGGAGCAAACAGG
rnacentral:rRNA from 1 species